rnacentral:lncRNA from 1 species
ACUUGUUCUUGAAAGUUAUUUCGAAAAGUGUUAGAUAAUGCCUAAAAAAAGAUAUAAUAGGUAUAAUGAACAAUCGCAGCUGAUGAUUUUAAAUAUAUUGGCUUUAUCUCAACUGGAAAAGGAACAAGUCCGAAACGGAAUUGCACUUCAAAUUGAGAAUGUGAUACAGCGAGCCGCAAAUGCAACAAAAUUGAGCACAACAACGAUCGCAAAGAUAGAGAAGAAUGGGACAAAAUCAGAUCAGGAUUACGCAGCCCGUAUAUCUUCCAAGCAAAAGACAGCAAAAACCAAAAUUACAACAUAUUUGAAACAUAGAAUUCGGGACACAAUUUAUUAUAUGUACGCCAGAAAAGAAUAUGUAAUAUUGGCAACAAUAAGAGAAAAGUUCAGGGAAGAAAUUGAAUAUUUUGAGUUUUCCAUUGACUCAAGUGGAAAAGUAUAGGCUUCAAGUGGAAAAAAUCAAAUAACAGAAAAUAUUUGAUGGACUUACCAAAUAUUGUUCAUAAAAGAAUCAAUUUUUUUAGGGAGUAUAUCAAAAAUAGAAAUGUAGAUCCGAAGGUUUUACUCUAGUUUUCAUUGAUGAGACGUGGAUUUUUAGCAAGGGAUCAUUUCGUAGUAGCUGGCAAGAUGACACUAAGCACACGGAUUCAAGGAAAAACAGUGAAGGUCAUCGUUAUAUCGUGGUCCACGCCGGAACCAAAGAUGGCUUCAUCAAGGGUGCAAAUUUAAUAUUCAAGAGUGGAUUAAAGACGGGAGAUUAUCAUGACAAUAUGAACAGGAAAAACUUCGAAAACUGGUUCCAAAUCUUCCCCCAAAGUCAUUUAUAAUCAUGGACAAUGCAAGUUACCAUUCUGGUUUAUUAGAAGAAAUCCCGAAAACAUCUUGGACAAAGCAGAGACUGACCGAAUGGUUGAAGAAAAAGAAUAUUGGCUUUCCAGAAAAAGCCAUGAAAGAUAAAAUAUGGAGUACUGCACGCAGAAACUGCCCUAGUGAAAAAAAGAACUGAUGAAUAUGUUAAACCUUUAGGACACAAAAUUUUGCGACUGUCACCAUAUCAUUGCCAGUUUAAUGGAAUUGAAAUGGUAUGGUCGGAAUGUAAACGAAAAUAUGAUCAAUAUAUUUCCAAUUUUAAGGGGUCACCUUCAGAAGUUCUGACUACAUGGGAAAGGGUAAUAAACGAAAUUUGCAAAAUCAUUGGCAGAAAUAUGUUUUUCAUACAGAAAAGGUAAUUGAAAAGGCUUGGGAGGCAAUACAAGUGUGUGAUGCCUAUGACAUUCUGCCACUUGUGAUUACGACUGACGAUGACAAAGACGAUAUCUCUGAUUUUAGUUCUGACUCUGACAAUACUGACGAGAUUGAUUAAGCUUUUUUUGUUCUAGCAAAUUUUAUUUUAUGAUCAUCGUUUAAGUAUUCAAUCAUAUCGUUGCAAUUUCAUUAACUUGGUAAUGCAAUAUGGCGUGUUUUUUUUGAGUUUGUAUGUUUUAUUUUUUGAAAUGGUAUUUUCAUUUUAAUAUGCUAACAUAUUCCUUCAAGUAGCAUUUUUUUUCAUGAACAAGUAAAUUAAAUUGUCAGUAUUUAAAUUUUUCCCAGUGAGUUAAAAUAAUUUUAUACCAUUAUUCACAAUUUUUGUAAGCUCGGUUUUGUUACGUCUACUGCUCGUGCCGAAUUCUACUUUUCAAAUAUGUUGUAGAUUUGGUUUUUGCGGUCUUUUACUUGGAAAAUAUAUGAGCAGCGUAAUCCUGAUCUGAUUUUAUCCCAUUCUUCUUUAUAUUUGCGAUCGUUGUUGUGCUCAAUUUUGUUGCAUCUGCGGCUUGCUCUAUCACAUUCUCAAUUUGAAGUGCAAUUCCGUUUCGGACUUGUUGUUUAUGUCCCAUUAUUUAUGAUUAAUUAUAAUAAUAUUUGUUAAUUGUUAAGUUUGUUAAUAAUACAAUAAAUACUACAAGAUUUUUUAAAA